UUGAACAGACGGUUCUAAUUAGGAGGGAAUUAACCCUUUUGGAUGAUAUCUUUGAAUUAAAAGUUAAUUUUUUAUAUAUUUUUCACAAUUAUUUUUCCUUUUUCCUUCUUUAAUUAUGGCCAUCUAUCAACCGGUACAGGAGCUUAUCUCAUUUUGAACUCUUUUAUCCUCGUGUUAUCUCUUGCUCCUUUUGGAUUGCACGAUUAUCAAAUGAUUUUUAAAUUCAAUUUACUAAAUUGAAUGUGCUUUGAAUCGGUUAACUUUAUCGUGGUUUUGGAUUAAACUCAGGGAAAAGUGCAUUUUUGAAUUGAUUAAUCAUUUAAAGAAAAAGGUCAAUUUCUGUCCUGGUCUUAAAUCAUUUCCACCUUCACCUGUAUUAAACCGUUACAAUCAGUUUAACCUGAUUUGUAAUCGUCGUGGAAGAGCAACAAUUCAAUCACUGACCAAUUACAUCGCUACUCCAAUCGCACAAUCGAUGUUGUUUAACAUUGAUUGUUGAGGAGUUGAGUGUCCAAUUAUUUUUUGCUCAUGUGAGAGCAAAAGAGCUGUUACUGAUCAAUUUUUUCACAACAAAAUCCAAUGGUUCAAGAAAAGAAACAAUUUACAAUUGUAAUUGGUAUUGAAUCAAAAAAAUUAUGAGUGGGAAUGGCAUUAGCUGUUUUGAGGGCAAUUAUAAGAAACACCUUUAACCACCUAAUUUGAUUAUUAUUGUAUUUUGAAUCAAUUUUGGAGCAGAAAAAUAAAUCAAGUUGACAAUCAAAAUUGUUUACAAGUCACCUUUGUUUACUGAAGGAGUUUUAUUAUGCUGUUGAUGACACUGAAUUGGUCUUUUGCUUGUAUUCAACUAAACGAAGUGGACUAAAAGCUUUAAAUCUUGGAUACCAAUUGGAAAUAAAUUUGCCAUUUGAUUUGAUUCAUUACCGAUUAUGAUGGAUACAGAUAUACGGUAAUUGUGAUUGUAUUGCUCAAUAUGGAUUGUUCAAUUGAAAGUAUCGCACAAUAAUGACCGAUACACGAUAUAAUGGUCUAAUCUGUUGAUUGUGAUGUUACUCUGCAAUUUAAGAUGUAACGACUGAGCAUUAAGAAUUGUUUGGAUGGGCAAAGAAAAGCGUUUAACAUUACUUUGCAGCUAAAUUGUCUUUUCCGAUUUCAAUUAUUGUUGAUGCCUUCAAACGUGAUUAAUUUGGAGUUGAAACAAUUGCGAGUUCGAGAAUAACCAACCCUAUUAGUGGCAAUUAGCAAUAAUGAGAAUCAAAUAUACAAAUCAAGUGAUUAAGGGAAAUACUAUUAUGGUUAAUGAAUUAUGCUGAUUACCAUAACAAACGUUGGCGUUUGGUCAUUUCGCAUUUAAACGGAUUUUCAUUUGAAUCGUGAUUUGGUCAUUUCUGGUUCAUUGUAUGUCCACAGACAAACAAUGAUAGAUAGGAUGCUGAUGAUGAUGGAGAAGGCGGAAACAAAAAAGUGAAAGUAAAAAAAUGAAAAGCAAUCCAAAUAAACAAUGGGAAGAAGAUGUCAGGAAAAGUGAAUUAUCUGUAUUAUGAGCAUUUCAACUGGAACCAAAAUAAAGUUCAUUGAAGCAUCACUCGUAAUCAUUAAGCAUGAAUCUUGAACAAACAAACAAAUAAACAAAGUAAAGAGAUGAUAAAUCAACAGCUCAAUACAUGAACACUUUAAAAAGGUUUCAACAACAGAUUUUAUCCUGCAAAAAAGACGGCAAUAAAGAUGGUGAAAAAAAAAUCAAAAUCCGUUUACAAAAUAAUGAAUGUUAUUGGACUCGGUUUUAUGACUUCAUAAAACAAUGUUGAGAUGUUUGUGGCGAUAAUAUAAAUUGUUGGGCGAAUCUCUAUGCAUCAUUGUAAAAGAGACGGAAACCAAUUGUCCAUUCAAGUUAUGCUCAAGAUAGAUGGAUGAUACUAAUUGUGUUGAUUGUGGUGAUAAUGAUGAUCAUAAAAAGAACCAAGGAAGUCGAGAUGAAACAUGACGAUUAUGAUGAUUAGUUGUUAGUAGACUGAUUGACGGACCAGACUGGUGACUUGUUGGUGGCUGUUGCGUGACCCUAAUAGCUCAACAAUCUGGUCUUUGGUUGGCCUCUCACACACUCAUUCACUUUAUACUCAUUGAUCUUUACCACAACAAUCACCAUUAUCAAAACAAUCAGAUGAAAUAAACAGUGAAAGGGAACCAUUUUGUUAUUUGGUGAUGCUUUGAGAUGUUCCGGUUUUUUUUUGGUGGUUGAUCUCCAAAACAGAUUUUGGUUUCACCAACAAGUUGCCAACAACAAUGAUAAUGAUGUUGUGUGGCGAUGAUGAUGAUGGUGCUUGUGCUGGUGAUAAUGAUUAUGAUGAUGAACAUGAAACACACGCCAGUUUCUUACCUUAGUUAACAGCUUGAUACAUUUGAAUGUUUUCCCUCUUCAUCUAACCAUUCAACCUCUAUGAGCUCUAUUGCUUUAUAAACUUUCAACCCUUGUAACACAUUUAUGAAUAGGAAGUAUACUUUUGCUGCUUCACUAUCAUCAACCUCAUCAACAUGAACCUUUCAAUAGCCAUGCAAUUAAAUUCUCAUUCAAUUAGACCAGUUAUUGAGUUACCGAAAAAAAAUAACAACUUUCCCGUACUGAUCCAUUAUUAUGUAUAAAUAUAUCUGAAUAUCAUCUGAAGCUUUAAGGUGACGAUGGAAUACAGUUUAGUUAAAACAGUUUUCACAUUUAAAUUUGAUUGUUUACUUUUGUUUAGAUUGAUAAUAACAUUAAUACCAUUUCAAUUGUUGGUAAUGAUGAUUGUAAUGAUGAUAAUCAUAAUGAUCUAAUCAUGAGGUUGAUGAUGGUGAUUAACUGUUAACAAUAUUGUCAAAUUUAGGAUAGGAAAUGAUAGAUUGACUUAGGUUGGGUUAGACCUAACCCAUUGAAAAGCAAAAACUGUAUGCACACUUAAACCAUUAUCUGUCCAUCCUUUUGUUUAAUCAACUUAGAUAAUCUUUUAGCUAUUAAUUCAUAAACAUUACAAACAUUGAAACUUUAUUUGAUCAGCUCAGUGCAAGAUUCAAUAUACAAAAUUUAAAUUGUCCAGCAGACACCAAUUAUAACCUGUUAACCCAACACUUUACACACUCACACACAUUGGCUAUCAGUUGUGUCUACCUUGUGUCUAAUGUUGAUCAUUAUUACCAUUAGAAUCCUCUUUUUGCCAUUGUUGUUAUAAUUAUUAUCAUUAUCAAAUUGAGAUAAAUUGAAUUGUUGGUGAAUUGGUUUUGAUUCGAUGUUGGGUUGAAAAUAGCCUUACAAAUGUAUUAAAGUAAAGGUAACAUGAAGUUGAAA